UAUCAAUAAGCGGAGCAUAAGGGUCCCUGCAUUGCCCUAGGCUGGAGCAUAGAGGGAUCCUUGCCUUGGGGUUGGCGUCUUCGUCUAUGUUUCUUGAAACAGGACGUCCCAAGAAGGUGAGAAUCCCGUGCGAUGAGAUGCCCAAUUCUAUGUAAGGUGCUUUCGAAGAGUCGAGUUGUUUGGGAAUGCAGCUCUAAGUGGGUGGUAAAUUCCAUCUAAAGCUAAAUAUUGGCGAGAGACCGAUAGCGAACAAGUACAGUGAUGGAAAGAUGAAAAGAACUUUGAAAAGAGAGUGAAAAAGUACGUGAAAUUGUUGAAAGGGAAGGGUUUGAGAUCAGACUCGAUAUUUUGUGAGCCUUGCCUUCGUGGCGGGGUGACCCGCAGCUUAUCGGGCCAGCAUCGGUUUGGGCGGUAGGAUAAUGGCGUAGGAAUGUGACUUUACUUCGGUGAAGUGUUAUAGCCUGCGUUGAUGCUGCCUGCCUAGACCGAGGACUGCGAUUUUAUCAAGGAUGCUGGCAUAAUGAUCCCAAACC
rnacentral:rRNA from 1 species